CGACCUCCCAAAGUGUUGGGAUUACAGGUGUGAACCACUAAGUCUGGCCUAAACUUUAAAUAUAUAUAUAUUUAUAUAUAUAUAUAUUUUUACAAGUGACUUUCAGAGAAAAAAAUAGCUUUGUCUUCUAGUUUAAUUCUAUUAUGGCCACGGCAGAUAGUUUGGAUAAGUUUAAUUCUUUAAAAUUUAAGAAUGUGGUCCAACUUACUGAAUAUUCCAAAGGCAUUUGAAAUGAAUGUGUAUUCUAUUUUGUUGGAUGGAGUAGUCUAUAGAUGUCAAUUAGGUCAACUUAGUUGAUAAUAUUCAAACUUCCUAUAUUUUUGCUGCAUUUCUGUCUGCUUAUUCUAUUAAUUACUGAUAGAGGUACGUUGAAGUCACCAACUAUAAUUGUGGGUUUUUCUGUAUGUCUUUUUCAUUUUAUUAAGCUUUUGCUUCAU
rnacentral:lncRNA from 1 species